rnacentral:piRNA from 1 species
UGGGGAUAAGGAGUUCGUAUAGAACAGCACUC